UUAUAGUUCAAUCAGUAGAGUAUGAGAUUCUUGAUCUCAGGGUCAUGGGUUUGAGCCCCACACUGGGCAAAA